rnacentral:rRNA from 1 species
UACGUAGGGUGCGAGCGUUAAUCGGAAUUACUGGGCGUAAAGCGUGCGCAGGCGGUGAUGUAAGACAGUUGUGAAAUCCCCGGGCUCAACCUGGGAACUGCAUCUGUGACUGCAUCGCUGGAGUGCGGCAGAGGGGAAUGGAAUUCCGCGUGUAGCAGUGAAAUGCGUAGAUAUGCGGAGGAACACCGAUGGCGAAGGCAAUCCCCUGGGCCUGCACUGACGCUCAUGCACGAAAGCGUGGGGAGCAAACAGG